rnacentral:rRNA from 1 species
UACGAAGGGUGCAAGCGUUACUCGGAAUUACUGGGCGUAAAGGGUGCGUAGGUGGUCGUUUAAGUCCGUUGUGAAAGCCCUGGGCUCAACCUGGGAAUUGCAGUGGAUACUGGCGAGCUAGAGUGCGGUAGAGGAUGGUGGAAUUCCCGGUGUAGCGGUGAAAUGCGUAGAGAUCGGGAGGAACACCCGUGGCGAAGGCGGCCAUCUGGACCAGCACUGACGCUGAGGCACGAAAGCGUGGGGAGCAAACAGG